rnacentral:vault_RNA from 1 species
GGGCCGGCUAUAGCCCAGCGGUUACUUCGGCCGAACAUGUUUCGCUCGCCCUCGGCUUCGCCGGGGGUUCGAACCCGCGGGCACCCCUGGCCCUUUU